AUCGCUUCUCGGCCUUUUGGCUAAGAUCAAGUGUAGUAUCUGUUCUUAUCAGCUUAAAAAAUAUAUAUUUUAUUGAUUUUCUACAGAGAGGUAGGAAGAGGGAUAGAGAGCUAGAAACUUCGAUGAGAGAGAAACAUCCACCAGCUGCCUCCUGCACACCCCCUACCGGGAAUGUGCCAGCAACC